rfam:Cavia porcellus supercont2_72 genomic scaffold, whole genome shotgun sequence.
UAGCUCAGCGGCAUAAGCGCCUGCCUUGCAAGCAGGCAGUCCUGAGUUCGAUUCCCGG